rnacentral:lncRNA from 1 species
GGACCAAGAAGCCUAUGUAUCUAUACGGCUGACGUGGUACUCUACUGGAUUGUCUUAAGGAUGUUUGUAUAUUGAGUUCUGAAUUUGAUUUUAUCAAAUUCAAUUCAGAUUCAGUCACUGGUAUUGGUUCUUCUACCAAUCAAACUUCGUCAAGCUUGAUUUUAGAGGUACUUAUUUCUUCACUAAGGAAACCUUUUUUCAAAAAGUAUGCCUUACUGCUGAUAAAUAUCUUUUAUUCAACAGUAAGAUAAAAGUAAUAUCCCCUCAUUUCUUUGGGGUACUUUAUGAAAUUAUACUUAUCGGAUCUAGGUCCGAGCUUAUCGAUUUAUAAUCAUUUAACAUAAGUCGAUCACCCCC